rnacentral:lncRNA from 1 species
CAGCACCCCAAAAGCUGCCGGGGGCCCCACAGCCCCCACAACCAUCCCCUGGGCGGGCAGGGGCACCCGGACGCCUGGGCCCCUGCGGGUGGGGGGUGCCUGGACGCCUGGGCCCCGGGGGUUGGCGUGACGCGGCGGGUCGGUGUUGGGGGGGGGCCUGCCCGGACGCCUGGGCCCGCUGACGGAGCCCCCGCAGCUGUUCGUGGAGCUGGUGGUGAAGAACCCGCUGUGCCCCCCCCGGGAGCCGGUGCAGAGCGAGCUUUUCCGCAGCCGCCUCGACGCCUUCGUGUGGGCUCGGCCUUUCUCCACCUGCGCCGGGUGACGGGGGGGUGCCAGGGACCCCCCCUUGGGGACAUGGGGACCCCCCCGGAGCAUGAGGACCCCUCCGGGAUGUGGGGAUGUCCUGGACCCCCCAGGGAUGCGGGGCCCCCCCAAAGUUUUGGGGACCCCCCCAGGGACAUGGAGACCCCUCGACCCCCACAUGGCACAUGGGGAUGUCCUGGACCCCCCCAGGGACACGGGGACACCCCCAGGAUCUUGGGGACCCCCCUCUUGGGGACAUGGGGACCCCUUGACCCCCCGGGGACACCCCCAGGGCCUUGGGGACCCCCCCCUUGGGGACACGGGGACCCCUUGACCCCCCGGGGAUGUGGGGACCCCCCCAGGGACACGGGGACACCCCCAGGGUCUUGGGGACCCCGCUCUUGGGGACACGGGGACCCCUUCACCCCCCGGGGAUGUGGGGACCCCCCCGGGACACAGGCACCCCCGCCUUAGGGACAUGGGGACCCCUUGACCCCCCCCCCAGAGCCUUGGGGACACCCCCCUUGGGGACACGGGGACACCCCAAGGCUACCAGGGACCCCUUGCCCCCCCCAGGAUUUGGGGGCCACCCUGGGGAUAUGGGGACCCCUCAGCCCCCCCCAGGGGCAUUGGGGACCACCCCGUUCCCCCCCCCAGACACCUGGGUCCCUGAGGGGGAGCGGGGGGGGUCCCGCUGCCCGGAGGGGCCCAGGCAUCCGGGGCUGGGUUUGGGGGCAAUAAACGUGUGUCAGUGACUGUGCGGAGCCUGUGC